rnacentral:rRNA from 1 species
GAUGAACGCUGGCGGCGUGCCUAAUACAUGCGAGUCGAGCGAACGGACGAGAAGCUUGCUUCUCUGAUGUUAGCGGCGGACGGGUGAGUAACACGUGGAUAACCUACCUAUAAGACUGGGAUAACUUCGGGAAACCGGAGCUAAUACCGGAUAAUAUUUUGAACAGCAUUGUUCAAAAGUGAAAGACGGUCUUGCUGUCACUUAUAGAUGGAUCCGCGCUGCAUUAGCUAGUUGGUAAGGUAACGGCUUACCAAGGCAACGAUGCAUAGCCGACCUGAGAGGGUGAUCGGCCACACUGUAACUGAGACACGGUCCAGACUCCUACGGGAGGCAGCAGUAGGGAAUCUUCCGCAAUGGGCGAAAGCCUGACGCAGCAACGCCGCGUGAGUGAUGAAGGUCUUCUGAUCGUAAAACUCUGUUAUUAGGGAAGAACAUAUGUGUAAGUAACUGUGCACAUCUUGACGGUACCUAAUCAGAAGACCACGGCUAACUACGUG